rnacentral:rRNA from 1 species
UACGGGGGGAGCAAGCGUUGUUCGGAUUUACUGGGCGUAAAGGGCGCGUAGGCGGCCAGCACAAGUCAGUUGUGAAAUCUCCGAGCUUAACUCGGAAAGGUCAACUGAUACUGUGCGGCUAGAGUGCAGAAGGGGCAACUGGAAUUCUUGGUGUAGCGGUGAAAUGCGUGGAUAUCAAGAGGAACACCUGCGGCGAAGGCGGGUUGCUGGGCUGACACUGACGCUGAGGCGCGAAAGCUAGGGGAGCGAACGGG